rnacentral:rRNA from 1 species
GAUGAACGCUGGCGGCGUGCCUAAUACAUGCAAGUAGAACGCUGAAGGAGGAGCUUGCUCUUCUGGAUGAGUUGCGAACGGGUGAGUAACGCGUAGGUAACCUGCCUGGUAGCGGGGGAUAACUAUUGGAAACGAUAGCUAAUACCGCAUGACAACAGUUAUUGCAUGAUAACUGUUUAAAAGGGGCAACUGCUCCACUACCAGAUGGACCUGCGUUGUAUUAGCUAGUUGGUGAGGUAACGGCUCACCAAGGCGACGAUACAUAGCCGACCUGAGAGGGUUAUCGGCCACACUGGGACUGAGACACGGCCCAGACUCCUACGGGAGGCAGCAGUAGGGAAUCUUCGGCAAUGGACGGAAGUCUGACCGAGCAACGCCGCGUGAGUGAAGAAGGUUUUCGGAUCGUAAAGCUCUGUUGUAAGAGAAGAACGAGUGUGAGAGUGGAAAGUUCACACUGUGACGGUAUCUUACCAGAAAGGGACGGCUAACUACGUG